rnacentral:rRNA from 1 species
UACGAAGGGGGCUAGCGUUGUUCGGAAUCACUGGGCGUAAAGGGCGCGUAGGCGGGCUCUUAAGUCAGGGGUGAAAUCCUGGAGCUCAACUCCAGAACUGCCUUUGAUACUGGCGAUCUCGAGUCCGGGAGAGGUGAGUGGAACUGCGAGUGUAGAGGUGAAAUUCGUAGAUAUUCGCAAGAACACCAGUGGCGAAGGCGGCUCACUGGCCCGGUACUGACGCUGAGGUGCGAAAGCGUGGGGAGCAAACAGG